GAGGAAUGGCUGGUUGGGCUUAGCCCUCCAGGGAGCCAGCUCCCCCACUGGCCCCAAUAGGUACUUCUGUUGUCAAAUUGCCACCCAGGGCAUGGAGACCCCAGCCCAUCCUGCCAGGACCCAAAGCAGCGCAUUAUGCCCACUAACUCCAGCUGUUUCUGUAGUUUCUGAUUCCUCCACCUCACUCAGCAUGGCUCUAUUAAAUACCCGCUCUGUUAACAGUAAGACCUUCCUGCUCAAGGAUCUAAUUCUCUCUAAAAACCUGGAUUUUCUGUUUCUGGCCAAGGAGACUUGGAUGUGGGACCAUGAACAGAGACGAUGGGGUUUACACAUUGGAUCGUGCAUGGGACUGCAUCGUCGGAGAAGGGAGAGCGGGCAGCAGAGGGCGACAACGUCCUCUGCUGCCCGCGGAUAAACGGAGAAGGAAGUGACGCCACCAUCAGCAUCAGCUCUGAGGACGUUAACAGCUGCAAACGAAACGUUAGCAGGUAAAGAAAAACCUUCCUGUGUUUUAAAAAAACCAAAAAUGGAAUUAGAAACAGAACACACCAAAGAUAAUCAGGUAAGUACUCACAUGGUUGAGUUCAGGUCCUUCAAAUGAUAUUUAUGCUCAAGAUAAGUAAAUAAAUGAGGUCUAGAAUCAACUAAUGGCCUGGCUGUCAUUUGUGGUCUUGUGCUGUCAUCUGGUGGACAAGUCGUUACAUUACAACUCAUUUUCAAAUCUUUAAGCAGAGACGCACAAGGCCGCUUUUUGGGCCUCCUGAGCUGUAAAGCAAGGCCAUUGGUUUGGAGAAUUUGGCCUGGUGAUCAGGUAAGUAGGAAGAUGGGCAUAAUACAUGAACCUCACUUUCUUUAUAUUUCACAUAGCCGCCCAGCAGCAGUGUGUGUGACACUGGGACCAUGACGGGAAUUCCACCCAGACCAGCUUCUACACUCCUGAACAGACCCAGGUGUGGUGGAGAGCUUCUGAGCAGCUUCCAUCUGAAUGACAGGACAAGCUCAAUGAACUGUUCUAGGCUAAAUGAACGCAAGUAAUCUGCUGUCAGACUGAUUGUUGCAGCCUAACAUGAAGCCUUGCAGGUGUAGUAAAGAUGAGUUGUUUUUAAUCAUCAUGUAAUCUUCAUUACAGCCUUUGAGUUUUAAGUAAGUAAGUAAAAGUUUAUUUAUAUAGCGCCUUUCACAGAUAUAAAUAAAGCGCUUUAACAUUAACUAUGUUUUUGUUUCAUAGCUUAUUGCUACACGUGUGUUGCUGCUGUGAGCUUGGAGCUAGAUUACAUCGUGACAUCAUGAAGGAGACUACUGAUUCUGGUCCUGUGACACUUGGUGGUGACGUGUGAUUUGAUUCACCUGGACACUCAGCUAAAUAUGGAUGCUACACCAUGAGGCAGGCAUGCGUUAAUACUCUAUAAGAGCACAUAAGCAUGAGGAUGUCCUCACACACCUGUAACCUAUCAGCUCAUCUGGCAGAAUAGAGAGAGAAGAGACAACACCACAUCUCCUGUUCCUGGAAAGCCUUCAGCCUUCCUUCGAUGACUGAGAACCUCCAUCAGCUCUGUCUCCUGUCUGCCUACAAUUAUUAUAAUAAAUAUUGUGUUUGACAA